CUGCAAUGUGGUCUAGUUGUUAGGAUUCCUGGCUUUUCGCCAGGCGGCCCGGGUUCGAUUUCCGGCGUGGAGA